rnacentral:lncRNA from 10 species
CUCUAUUUGAUCGCUGCUUUCUAACCAACUGAUUCGUUCUGUCCUCUACUUUUUCCUGCAUGUAAACUUCUUAUGAGCAAUGACCCUGCCGUAUGCACCCAGGGCCCAUCUCCAUGCCUGCUGCAGAGGCCUCCCUGGGAGCUCACCGGCCUCACCCAAGCUCGCAGCAUUGUGCCGGGAAAGGAUGUUCUCGGCUCCGGCCUUUUUCCUCCUCUCCUGGGGACAGAACAUGGAUCCUGGAAGGCAUUGAGGACCCUGUGCUCAGCCCCUGCCCAUCCCUUCCACCACUUAUCUGUCCUGUAGGCACACUGACGCGGCUUUCACAAAAUGGGAGGCUCUGAGAGGUGAGCUCCCAGGAGACAGGACCAAGGUCUGCCUUCAUCCUGAAGUUUGCAGGGCAGAGGCCCAGAUCCUGCAAAGGUGAUGUGCUCAGGAAGCCACAGCGGAGCCCCACACGCACCAUGUGAGUCACGCUGGUGCCACAGGCUUGAACUCUGCUGGACACAAACAGCCUGGGGGGUGUGGAAGUGGGCAUUACCGCUGUGCUGUUCUUACUUGGGGCAGUGUCUCCAAUAUCCCUUUCCCAUUCAGCAACUGUGCAACACCUGACUUCAGAAACAGACGUCUAGAGCCCUGCCUGAUGGAGCCAGGACCAGCUUGCCUGGUGGAUCUGUGCCCUGGGGACCCGCUUGGGCUCUAGCACAGCAUGUGCUGUAGAGUCAAGCACACAUGAGGUGGCCCCACUGCCCUGCAGACCACAGAUGCAGCCCCAGCUCACCAUUGACAUCUGUCCCCAGUCAGACCUCUUUACGCAGCAUUCUAGCCUCUCGUUCUCUGCCACACCCAUUGCCCCACUCACCCCGCCCUCUCCACUCACUGGAGCUGCCCAGCAUCCUCAUCCCUCUUCUAAGCAACAUGCCUUCCUCCCCAUACCCAACAUCUUUGCCUGGAAUGAGUUUUCCUUGCCCAACUCUCUACCUAUCCCUAAGGCCCAAGUAAGGGGAGAGGGAGAGGAAGUAGGGGGUAGGAGUGUUAGAUUGUAUUGAUGACCUACGUUCUAGCCCCUCAAGAGGCACUUGACAUCUGGUCCCUCAAGGACUCUACUCUGUGGGACAUUCCUUGGCUAAACUUGUCUCCUAGACUAAUUUCUCCCCCACACGCAGAUCCACCAGUCAGGCUUCCCCCAUUACCUCCAGGCACCCCUGGAGAAAUUUGUCCCCACCCACCCACCACCAAGACUUGAGUCUUAUUCACCAGUGAUCAGUGACUCACUUUAAACCAGCGCUAUCUGAGACGUAGGGCGCCAGCAAUCGAUGUCAUUUUAAAUUUUCUAGGAGCCAUAUUUUUAAAAGGAAAAAGAAACUGAUUAUUCAACAGAACAUAUCCAAAAAUGAUCAUGUAGACGUGCGUUUAACAUAAACACUUAUUAAUG